GACGAACGCUGGCGGCGUGCUUAAUACAUGCAAGUCGAACGGUGAAGCGCCUUCCUUUUUGGUGGGUGUGGAUGAGUGGCGAACGGGUGAGUAACACGUGAGUAACCUGCCCCCUUCUUCUGGAUAACCGCAUGAAAGUGUGGCUAAUACGGGAUAUUCUGGGUCUGUCGCAUGAUGGGUCUGGGAAAGAUAUUGUUUCGGUGGGGGAUGGGCUCGCGGCCUAUCAGCUUGUUGGUGGGGUGAUGGCCUACCAAGGCUGUGACGGGUAGCCGGCCUGAGAGGGUGGACGGUCACACGGGGACUGAGACACGGCACAGACUCCUACGCGAGGCAGCAGUGGGGAAUAUUGCGCAGUGGGCGCAAGCAUGAAGCAGCGGCGCCGCGUGAGGGAUGAAGGCCUACGGGUGGUGAACCUCUUUCGCCAGUGAAGCAGGCCUGCCUGGUUUGUGGGUGGGUUGACGGUAGCUGGUUAAGAAGCGCCGGCUAACUACGUG
rnacentral:rRNA from 1 species